AAUCAACUAAUAUAUCUUGUUUUUUAACUAUUGGUAAUUGGGAUUCCUGUGCCCAACCGUAUGUGCAAUCAAAAACAUCAAACCGGAAACGGACAGGAAUUACUUUUUUGAAGACUACCCCAAUACAACUGCAGAAAAGCCAACUUUAAUACAAUUUAAGUGAUAAACAUGUGUUGUAAAGAUAGUGCCUUCCCUGUCUCUAGAAGAGGAACAAAUGGUUUUUAAAAAGUUCCUGGAUUUCAAAGUUUACAUCGGGCCUGGACAAGCAUUUUGUUACAAUGAAGGUGGAUGGUUCAGACUGGUUUUUGCCACUCACCCUGAUCAACUUAGAAUAGGUAUGGAGCGUGUUGUUUCAUGUGUAGAUGCCAUCCGUAAAGAAAAUCUCUACUGUAGAAAUAGAAGUAUGUGUCAUGACCACCUCACUGCUUUUAACAGUGACAAAACUGAUGAAGUGAUGACCGAUGGCGAAUCAUUUGAAGAACAAGCACAAGGUUUUAGAUUAAGUAUCAGUAAUAGUGACUGUCUUUCAUUGAAAACAACAGAAAAAAGGACAAAAGAAAUUGAGAAACAUCACCACGAAGAUGUUGCAUCCAAAACUGAGUAAUCAGUCUUUGCAUCCAGAUUUUUCAGUUUCAUUAAGAAAGUACACUACUUUUAGCUUGUAUGUCAUAACAAUCCAAUAACUUCUUGUAUUAUUUUGAUAUUUCGUUUCUCUCAAAACAAAUGAGCAAAUUGUGAGGCCA